AACGAACGCUGGCGGCAGGCCUAACACAUGCAAGUCGAGCGAGGACUUCGGUCCUAGCGGCGGACGGGUGAGUAACGCGUGGGAACGUGCCCCUUGGUACGGAAUAGCCCCGGGAAACUGGGAGUAAUACCGUAUGAGCUCUACGGAGGAAAGAUUUAUCGCCAAGGGCACGGCCCGCGUUGGAUUAGGUAGUUGGUGGGGUAAUGGCCUACCAAGCCGACGAUCCAUAGCUGGUUUGAGAGGAUGAUCAGCCACACUGGGACUGAGACACGGCCCAGACUCCUACGGGAGGCAGCAGUGGGGAAUCUUAGACAAUGGGCGCAAGCCUGAUCUAGCCAUGCCGCGUGAGCGAUGAAGGCCUUAGGGUUGUAAAGCUCUUUCAGCUGGGAAGAUAAUGACUGUACCAGCAGAAGAAGCCCCGGCUAACUCCGUGCCAGCCGCCGCGGUAAAAC
rnacentral:rRNA from 1 species